UAUGGAAUACGCCUUCGAGCCUGUCCGCCUAAAGGUAGCGUCCCAUGGCAGACUGGCCUGGGCCCGACGCCCACGGGGUAUAGUUGGAAACGGCUAUGCCUUCCCAGUUUGAAAAGGAGGUAGACAAAUGAUUAG
rnacentral:ncRNA from 2 species